UACGAAGGGGGGCUAGCGUUGCUCGGAAUCACUGGGCGUAAAGCGCACGUAGGCGGAUCUUUAAGUCAGGGGUGAAAUCCUGGAGCUCAACUCCAGAACUGCCUUUGAUACUGGCGAUCUCGAGUCCGGGAGAGGUGAGUGGAACUGCGAGUGUAGAGGUGAAAUUCGUAGAUAUUCGCAAGAACACCAGAGGCGAAGGCGGCUCGCUGGGCUUGGUCUGACGCUGAGGCGCGAAAGCGUGGGGAGCGAACAGG
rnacentral:rRNA from 1 species